rnacentral:misc_RNA from 1 species
GAUGAAGAACGCAGCGAAAUGCGAUAACUAAUGUGAAUUGCAGAAUUCCGUGAAUCAUUGAGUCUUUGAACGCACAUUGCGCCCCCUGGUAUUCCGGGGGGCAUGCCUGUCCGAGCGUCAUUACAACCCUCAAGCUCAGCUUGGUGUUGGGCCCCGCCGCCCCGGCGGGCCCUAAAGUCAGUGGCGGUGCCGUCCGGCUCCGAGCGUAGUAAUUCUUCUCGCUCUGGAGGUCCGGUCGUGUGCUCGCCAGCAACCCCCAAUUUUUUUCAGGUUGACCUCGGAUCAGGUAGGGAUACCCGCUGAACUUAAGCAUAUCAAUAAGCGGAGGA